rnacentral:rRNA from 1 species
GACGGAAGGUGCAAGCGUUGCUCGGAAUCACUGGGCGUAAAGGGUGCGUAGGCGGCCGUGCAAGUCUGGCGUGAAUGCCCCGGGCUCAGCCCGGGAAGUGCGCUCGAAACUGCGCGGCUCGAGUGCCGGAGGGGAGAGUGGAAUUCCUGGUGUAGCGGUGGAAUGCGCAGAUAUCAGGAGGAACACCAACGGCGAAGGCAGCUCGCUGGGACGGUACUGACGCUGAGGCGCGAAAGCGUGGGGAGCGAACAGG